CUCUCUCUCUCUCUCUCUCUCUCUCUCGUCACAGGAGACGCGUGGCGUGGUUAUUUUCUUCUUUAGAUGUUUUUCUUUUCUCUACACACAGAGAGAUGAGUACUGUUCCUCUAGUUACAGAGAUCUGAGAAUUUUUUUUUUUUUUGCAUAGCCAAGCCACAUGAAUGACUAAGAAAUGGGGAAAAAGGGGACUUGGUUCUCUGCUUUGAAGAAAGCUCUCA
rnacentral:misc_RNA from 1 species